GGCAAGAUGGCCGAGCGGUCCAAGGCGUUGCACUCAAGAGAUAAACCUCUUCCCUACCACACAGGCGGGAAUUGCAAUAUCGUAAGAUGCCAGGGUUCGAAUCCCUGUCUUGUCA
rnacentral:tRNA from 1 species